CCGCCGCCCCGCCGCGGGCUCCCGGGCCCCGCGGGGGCCGAUCCCCCCCGGCCUGCAGCCCAGCCUGCGGGGGGCGCAGCGCCUAGUCCCGCCCGCGUCGCCCGCCAGCCCCGGGACAGCCCGCCUGGCGCGCGGGGCUCUGCGCGCUGCGACCCUCCCCGGCAGUCCCGCCCGCCUCUCCUCGCCCUCUCUCUGCCUGGCCUCCAACUUUGCCUCUCGCUAUCCUCUCCGCCGGCGCCCCCUUUCCCGGCGGUCCCCGGGAUGGUCCCCGGCACCCCGAGGACGCCGAGGUUACGGGAAGUUCGGGGACUGGCGGGAGAAGGGGUUUGGGGGUGGUCCGCGGCGAGGGGCGCGGGGUGCAUCUUCUCUUCCUUUUAUGGGCUGCCACACUUGUGUAUCCCUUCUUCCUUGAAUUUAACCAGGAGUGAGCAGUGGACAGCUUCUUCCCUAUGAGAAGGAGGUGAAGCAGGACCUGAAAUCCCGUGCUCAGCUCCCACAUGCCCCGUGUCCAGGACAAGUCCUUUGCUGAAUCAGCGGCAGACACCACCCGGAGCCCUGCGGGAGCCUUUCCCUGUUCUUCCAGCAUGGAUCUGAAACUCCCUUCCCACUUUCUGCAGCCUCCCAGAGAUAGUUCAGGCUCCAGCCUCAUGUGAUAGCAUGAAGAGAAACUGGUUCCAACAGCUGUGUGCUCUGCUGCCCUCAUCCCAAACAACAGUUUAAAUGCACAAUUACGCUUUUCUCUAAGGCCCAAAAUAGGAUAGGAAAGAUCGUUUUGCUAUCCCUGAAUGCCUGUCACCCUUGUUUCGUAAGGAAGUCAGUCCCAGAAUAGUUGUUCUGCUCCCUCCCUUCUAAUAAGUGCUGCGCUGAGUGUGCUUGCUUUGCCAGAUGGUUAAAACAGAGCAGGGGAUAGAAGGACAGAUGUCUUCACCCUCAUGGAGUUCACCUUCCAGUAGGAGGAGGCGAUAGGCCGGGGUCUGCACAUGUGCGUGCUACAGCCUGUUCCACGGUGCGUGGCGUGCGGGGCAGGUGAGCGGCUCAUGCCAUCCAGAGAGC
rnacentral:lncRNA from 10 species